rnacentral:siRNA from 1 species
UCCAUUGGGUCUCUGUGUCAU